rnacentral:rRNA from 1 species
UACGAAGGGGGCUAGCGUUGCUCGGAAUUACUGGGCGUAAAGCGUGCGCAGGCGGCUUUGCAAGACAGAUGUGAAAUCCCCGGGCUUAACCUGGGAACUGCAUUUGUGACUGCAAGGCUAGAGUACGGCAGAGGGGGAUGGAAUUCCGCGUGUAGCAGUGAAAUGCGUAGAUAUGCGGAGGAACACCGAUGGCGAAGGCAAUCCCCUGGGCCUGUACUGACGCUCAUGCACGAAAGCGUGGGGAGCAAACAGG